GUUACUCACCCAAGACCUUGGUUUUUUUCUUAGGUCUUCUUCGUUUUUAGUGAAGGUCAAUUAAUCCGCGUCGGUUCUCCGAAUGGUGAUUCUAGAUUCCGAACUGGAGGGCUCGGAAUGCACUAUUACCACAAGAAGAGACGGCUCUUGGCAGAAUCUUGGUGGUAAGGUGGUGAAGUUUCGAACGACGUUGGGUUAGAACGAGAUUACGUUUCAAGACAAGAUUUACCAUUUGUUUUACCAUUUAUGAUCAUUGUCCUUAUUUUGUAGUAAACUGUAAACGUCGUAGCUAUUACAAGAAUGCAGAUUAGAUUAUAUCUCUUCAUUGGAAAUUAUUGUUUGUUCCAAUGUCA